UACAGAGGGUGCAAGCGUUAAUCGGAAUCACUGGGCGUAAAGCGCACGUAGGCGGCUCGAAAAGUCGGAUGUGAAAGCCCUGGGCUCAACCUAGGAAGUGCAUUCGAAACUGCCGAGCUUGAGUACGGGAGAGGGUUGCGGAAUUCCCGGUGUAGAGGUGAAAUUCGUAGACAUCGGGAGGAACACCAGUGGCGAAGGCGGCAGCCUGGACCGAUACUGACGCUGAGGUGCGAAAGCGUGGGGAGCAAACAGG
rnacentral:rRNA from 1 species